rnacentral:rRNA from 1 species
AACGAACGCUGGCGGCAUGCCUAACACAUGCAAGUCGAACGAGACCUUCGGGCCUAGUGGCGCACGGGUGCGUAACGCGUGGGAACCUGCCCUUAGGUUCGGAAUAACUCCCCGAAAGGGGUGCUAAUACCGGAUAAUGUCUUCGGACCAAAGAUUUAUCGCCUUUGGAUGGGCCCGCGUUGGAUUAGCUAGUUGGUAGGGUAAAAGCCUACCAAGGCGACGAUCCAUAGCUGGUCUGAGAGGAAGAUCAGCCACACUGGGACUGAGACACGGCCCAGACUCCUACGGGAGGCAGCAGUGGGGAAUAUUGGACAAUGGGCGAAAGCCUGAUCCAGCAAUGCCGCGUGAGUGAUGAAGGCCUUAGGGUUGUAAAGCUCUUUUACCCGGGAUGAUAAUGACAGUACCGGGAGAAUAAGCUCCGGCUAACUCCGUG